UGGGGAAUAUUGGACAAUGGGGGAGACCCUGAUCCAGCCAUGCCGCGUGUGUGAAGAAGGCCUUAUGGUUGUAAAGCACUUUAAGCGAGGAGGAGGCUACUUUAGUUAAUACCUAGAGAUAGUGGACGUUACUCGCAGAAUAAGCACCGGCUAACUCUGUGCCAGCAGCCGCGGUAAUACAGAGGGUGCGAGCGUUAAUCGGAUUUACUGGGCGUAAAGCGUGCGUAGGCGGCUUAUUAAGUCGGAUGUGAAAUCCCCGAGCUAACUUGGGAAUUGCAUUCGAUACUGGUGAGCUAGAGUAUGGGAGAGGAUGGUAGAAUUCCAGGUGUAGCGGUGAAAUGCGUAGAGAUCUGGAGGAAUACCGAUGGCGAAGGCAGCCAUCUGGCCUAAUACUGACGCUGAGGUACGAAAGCAUGGGGGAGCAAACAGGAUUAGAUACCC
rnacentral:rRNA from 1 species